AUUGAACGCUGGCGGCAUGCUUUACACAUGCAAGUCGAACGGUAACAGGCCGCAAGGUGCUGACGAGUGGCGAACGGGUGAGUAAUGCAUCGGAACGUGCCCAGUCGUGGGGGAUAACGCAGCGAAAGCUGCGCUAAUACCGCAUACGAUCGAUGGAUGAAAGCGGGGGACCGUAAGGCCUCGCGCGAUUGGAGCGGCCGAUGUCAGAUUAGGUAGUUGGUGGGGUAAAGGCUCACCAAGCCAACGAUCUGUAGCUGGUCUGAGAGGACGACCAGCACACUGGGACUGAGACACGGCCCAGACUCCUACGGGAGGCAGCAGUGGGGAAUUUUGGACAAUGGGCGCAAGCCUGAUCCAGCAAUGCCGCGUGCAGGAAGAAGGCCUUCGGGUUGUAAACUGCUUUUGUACGGAACGAAACGGCUCUGGUUAAUACCUGGGGCUAAUGACGGUACCGUAAGAAUAAGCACCGGCUAACUACGUGCCAGCAGCCGCAGUAACAC
rnacentral:rRNA from 1 species